AAGGUACAAACCAGUCAUCUCCAAACAAACUAUCGUCGUAUCUCCCAUUUGCUGUCAUUAUUAGCUCUGGCAUAUAUAAAUCAUCGUAUCACCGUCUCUCCUCAUCCUUCUCAACCUCUAGAAACCAUCGCCCCACAACCACUAAACCAUCUUUGUUGAUAUAUCUCUCUCUAAAACCACAAUCCACCGCUACCACCAGUCAGUGUCGCUACAGCUUAAUCCCAAAUCCAUUCUCAUCAGAGUUUCUCUCAUCGUAUUUUUAAGGUUUUGGUGAACUCCAUCACCACUAAAAAACCUAAAACGAUUCCGUGGUCGCUAUGCUUUGAUCGGCUUUAUUGGAAAAAAGUACAGCCCUUGCUGUUGCUAGGACAGGGCCAUUCAUUCAUGGUGAUUUAGGGGAAAAGGGAUGUGCACAACAAUUGGAAUUUGCAUGGGAUAUGGAGUAUUGGAGUUACAUUUCAGAUUUGUCCCGGGACAACAGACAUAACUUAAUGAAUAAGUCUACUAUUUCAUGGAUUUAUGGAAAAGAAAUUAGGAUUUGGUGGGAGUUCAACUAAACUGCUGACUUUUUCUAAUAUUUAUAUAUCAGAAACUGGUUUCAGGUUGAUGUAUAUUUGACCCUUUUUAUAUCAUUUCUUUUUCUAUUUGAUCUAAAAGUUUGGUUAUGAUUAUGGAUAUUUUAUUAUGAUUUAUUUCAUUAAUAUGAGAGAAUCAAGGGGGUGCUUCAUGAUGUUGAUGAAAGGAAACAGAAUCUGGGGAUACAACCGUGUUUAUAAUGGUAAUGCCUUCAUCCAUCUCUCUCUAUCUCUCUCUCUCUCUCUCAAAAUUUGUUUUUUAUUCAUGACAAUGAGAAGUAUGCGUUUCUGUAUAGGACACAUAGUUAUGUUCAAUUUCAUGUGUUUCAAAGCAAAUUUGUGAUUAGUUUUUGUAUUUUCAAAAUUGUUUGUGGAAAUACAUAGCUAUACUUUCUUGACUUGGUGCUUAAUUUGGGUUUAUUAAGCAGCAUCCAUGAAUGAUUUCUUCACAAAUGAGUCAAAUCAAAUGUUUUGAGUAAUUUGUCGUUAAUUGCAUAUUUUUGUUAUUAAUUUUUGAUGUUUUUUAUUGUUUGCCAAAAUUUGAAUUGGUUUUUCUAUGGUUUGAUGUGAACAUUACAAGUUGCAGGUACCCAAAGGUUUGACUACAUUAAAAAAAAAACUCAUAAUGUCCCUCAAAAAAGUCUCAACUUCUGAUUAUUUCAUCUUUUCAAGGUUAUUGUGACAUUAUUGUUCUUACAGAUGAAUUUAAAAAAUCCAUAAGUAGAUUGUGCUUUUGGUUUUUUACUUUUGCUUUUUGUUGCAUUUCUAAGGAUGCAGUUUAGUAUGAAUUGUUUUUGAAUAGCUAAAUUUUGAAUAAUAUAUUUAAAGGAAUAAAAAAAGAGUAGUUUUAUUUUUAAAGCUUUGAGAAAACUAAACAUCAUCGUUUUUUAUUUUAUCUCAUUUCGUUGUUUUAAGAAAACAAUAUUUAUGUCUCCAAGUGGUAAAUUGUCUACUUUAUUUUCAGUUUUGCGGAGAAACUGAAAUGGUUGUGACAUUUUCUUAUUCUCUAUUUUAUUUUCGCACACACUGUGCGUAAUAUCUCUUGAUGUUGAUGGAUACAAACGUUUCUUUGAGUUGCUGCUGGUGUGACUGGGCUGGAAUUUGGAUGAGUAACAUAUAUUUGCCAAGAAUAGAACAAUUUUGCCCUUUGCAUCAUUAUUUUAUUUAUUUAUUUAUUUUUUUGUAAUUGUCAAAUGAAAGUGAUUAUUUUUUUAUUUUAUUUUUGUUUAUUUUUCAAAUGAAUGUUGAUCCAGUUACUCACUAACUACACAUUUUUAUGUGCUAUAAGUUGAUUGAGUUACUCACUAA